ACUCUGCUUGUGGAUUUUGUGGGCACUCAGUAUUAUGAGAGAAAGCAGGGCCUGAACAGGGCAAGUGAGGAGCAAGCAAGGGUUGGAUCGGUCGAUGUAGGUCCUGAUUCGGAUAUUGUCCCUUUCGCGGGUGAAAAAGAGCCCAAUGGAAAGGUGUUUGGGGAAGAGGAGGGCGGUGGGAUGCACAUUGUGGGGAUGCACGCGCAUGCAGCACACCAUAGGGACAGCCACCCUCACGGCCAGGACGCAUGAGAUCGGCAUGUGAAGGAUCAUGGGCACGCGCACAAUCACCGGUUCAGCGAGGGUGACGA
rnacentral:misc_RNA from 1 species